UACGGGGGGGACAAGCGUUGUUCGGAAUUACUGGGCGUAAAGGGCUCGUAGGCGGCCAACUAAGUCAGACGUGAAAUCCCUCGGCUUAACCGGGGAACUGCGUCUGAUACUGGAUGGCUUGAAAUUGGGAGAGGGAUGCGGAAUUCCAGGUGUAGCGGUGAAAUGCGUAGAUAUCUGGAGGAACACCGGUGGCGAAGGCGACAUCCUGGACCAACACUGACGCUGAGGAGCGAAAGCCAGGGGAGCAAACGGG
rnacentral:rRNA from 1 species